UAAUAAGAAGUUAAAUGGCCGCGGUAUUUUGACCGUGCAAAGGUAGCAUAAUCGUUAGUUUUUUAAUUGGAAUCUUGUAUGAAUGGUUGGACAAAAGAAAAUCUGUCUUUGUAUUAUUAAUUGAAUUUAACUUUUGAGUGAAAAGGCUUAAAUAAAUUGAAGUGACGAUAAGACCCUAUAAAACUUUAUAUAAACAUAUUAUUUGAUUGAAUUUAAAAUAAAAAUUUAAUAAUAAAAUUUAUUUUGUUGGGGCGAUAAAAGUAAAAUUUUUAUUAACUGCUUUAAGUUUUGAAUACAUUUAUGUUUGAUUAAAAUUUUUAGAUGAUCCUAAAUAAAGAUUAAAAGUUUAAGUUACUUUAGGGAUAACAGCGUUAUUUUUUUUGAGAGUACUUAUCGAAAAAAAAGUUUGCGACCUCGAUGUUGAAUUAAAAUUUCUUUAUAAUUGCAGUAGUUAUAAAAGUAGGUCUGUUCGACCUUUAAAAUUUUA
rnacentral:rRNA from 1 species